GACGAACGCUGGCGGCGUGCUUAACACAUGCAAGUCGAGCGGUAGCACAGAGAGCUUGCUCUCGGGUGACGAGCGGCGGACGGGUGAGUAAUGUCUGGGAAACUGCCUGAUGGAGGGGGAUAACUACUGGAAACGGUAGCUAAUACCGCAUAACGUCGCAAGACCAAAGUGGGGGACCUUCGGGCCUCAUGGCAUCAGAUGUGCCCAGAUGGGAUUAGCUGGUAGGUGGGGUAACGGCUCACCUAGGCGACGAUCCCUAGCUGGUCUGAGAGGAUGACCAGCCACACUGGAACUGAGACACGGUCCAGACUCCUACGGGAGGCAGCAGUGGGGAAUAUUGCACAAUGGGCGCAAGCCUGAUGCAGCCAUGCCGCGUGUGUGAAGAAGGCCUUCGGGUUGUAAAGCACUUUCAGCGGGGAGGAAGGCGGUGAGGUUAAUAACCUCAUCGAUUGACGUUACCCGCAGAAGAAGCACCGGCUAACUCCGUGCCAGCCGCCGCCGUAAGAC
rnacentral:rRNA from 1 species